rnacentral:rRNA from 1 species
GGCGGUGGAAAACAAACCAAAUGGGAUUCUUCAAGUAAUGGCGAAUGAACCUAGAUAUGCUCAAUUUGAAAAACACAGUGAUACUGUUUGACAUGUAAUUUCAAAAUGUACAACCAAUUGGCAUGCAAGUGGAAGCUCAUUGAAAGAAUGCGUCGAAGAAGGUGAAAAUCCAUUUUGCCACUUGUAAUGUUGUUGUUUAUGGUGUAUAUUUCAAGAGUCACAUUCCUUGGCAUUGGAAUGCAAUGUGGGUGGUAAACUUCAUGCAAAGAUUAAUAUGUGUUUGAGAUUGAUAGUACACAAAUACCGUGAGGGAAAUAUGAAAAGGACUUUGAAAAGAGAUUUAAAAGAGUUUGCAGUUGCUGAACAAAAAACAAAUAGGAUGUCGACGAUUGAGCAGAUUGUUGAACCUCGGUUUGCUUCAAUUGCUAGCAUGUGUGUAUUCAAUGAUUCUAUCUUUGUCUACCAUACCAUUCUCAGCGUAUCAUGACACUUGCAGGUUUCGUGUUUUUGCUUGCGGGCUAAUGACAACACCUGCUUGAGAAUGGUAUGCCAAGUGUUCAUUGUGCUUAGAGUCUGCAUACUGCUUAUGUUAAGUUGCAAUUCUGAACUUGUGCUUUGAGCUGUGCUUUACCUUCUGCAUAUGUCUAUUGGUGAUCAUAUCCUGCUUGACCCGUCUUGAAACACGGACCAAGGAGUCUAAUAGAUGUGCAAGCUUUGAAACUGCUAUUUUGUUUAAACCAAUGAAAUUAAGAGCUGGGAUUUUUGCACCAGCAACCAAUUGAUUGGUGGGUAAAGCCUUGAGUUGGAGCAUAUUUAUUAGGACCCGAAAGAUGGUGAACUAUGCCUGAAGAGAAUGAAUUCAGAGGAAACUCUGACGGAAGUUCGCAUCAAUACUGACGUGCAAAUCGUUUGUCAUACUUGGGUAUAGGGGCGAAAGACUAAUCGAACCAUCUAGUAGCU